AUUCUCUCCUUUCCAUUGAAGGAGCACAGGGAGAGCUGUAAAGUAUAGGCCAAGCAAAGAAACAACAUCAAAAAUAGAAACUAGUAUCUUCAUCCUGUUGUGCUCAUCCCUUCAUUACCCUCACUCUUAAAAACAAAUCAAGUAGUCUGGAAACUGGAAAGAACUUAAUGACUUUAAAAUUCAAGACCAUAGGGAGAUUAUAGUAACUUUAGUCUCAGCCCUGUCAGUGUUGUGGUAAAGAGAAAGCAUACUGAAUGCUGAGAGUUGUAAGAGUGUGGGAUCCUUAUUACCUGUGCUGUGAAACUUUAAAGGUAUGGGAGGUUUUUUUUUUUUUUUUUUCAGUGAGCUAAAUAGCUUUGGAGCUAUUUUUAUAGCACAACCAGAGGUUCCCUAAUGUCACAAGAAGACUGAAUUGUUCUUUGUUCACAUGACUUACUCAAAUCAGUUUUAUUUGUUUAUGGUAGAGAAGAGACAGUGAAGUAGAAAAUCAUUGUGGGGGAAAAUGUUGGGUAUUUUAGUCUGUCUUAAACUUAAUGAUGUACCAGUUUGGGGGGUUUUGUUUUCUCCCUUACUAUAUCAGUUUCAUCAAGUCAGAUUAUUGGGUCAUGAAAUGGAAGGUGAAUCUGUAUUUAAAAUGAGUUCUACUUUGGAAAAACUGACCAAAUUUUGUUUUAUACAUACACACAAAUUACUUGGAAGUAGAUCAGCUAAUAAUAUAAUUGUUGUUACUUGAUAUAAAUCUGUGAUUUCCUAUUUGUCUUCCUCUUAUUUUUCUAUCCUCCCCUUCCUUUGUAUGUCUGAGGAGCUUUUGAAUGUUUUAGGUGUGGGCAAAGAAAUGGCUAACGUACAACAUUCUCAAGACUCAUACAUUAAGGAAAAUUGUAUUAAUGUAUCAUAGUAGCUUGAGAAAGUAGGCGGAAUAUUUUCGUUGGUCUACCACAAGACUCUUGAUCCCAUUAUAUAUUGCUAAUUGAGAAGUUGACAUAAACGCAAUCUGCUUGUCCUAGGAAUUUGAUAAUACUGAGAGCUUUGAAAUUGGCGUAUUAUUUAGGCAAUGGUUUUAGUAUUGUAUGUGCCUAAAUGUGCUAUUCUUAGUGUUUGGAUUAAUCCUAAGGAUUUACAGUUUACAGUUAGGUUUAAUAUAAGUACUCACAGUUAAGUUUAUACAUAAAUACAGUUAGGUUUUAUACAAGUAUAAGUUUUUUUUUUUGUCUUCUGAAGAACUAGUAGGAUGACGCUUUAAUAUAGCAGUCUGCAGUUUUUCAUUAUGACCACAAAUCCUAAUAGAAAUUACCAAAAGGAUUUUUUUUAAAGUUGCAUGGUGAUGGCUUUUUAUAUGUCUCUUUCUUAGUCAAAGUGAAAAAGUAAGUUAGGUCUUCAAAAAAAUUCCUGUUCUAAAGCCCAGUUUGGUAGUGAUCUGUAAUCCUAGCACACUUAUGUAUUAGACAGAAUGGUGGCCUCCAGUUCAAGGACAGCCUGGCCUAGACAAGACUAUGUGUCAAAAUAAUAGAAACAAAUCCUCUCUGUCUGAAAAUUCUUCAGUAGUUUAAAAUUAAUACUUCACAAACAUAUCUUAUGUUUGAUAGUAUUUGUUUAAAAUUUUAGAAAGUGGCUGGCUGUUUGUUUGAAGGGAUUUCUUAAUGGUUGUUUGCUAGAAGUAUAGACUAGUAUAAUAUUUGUCAGAAAAUACAUUUAAGAGAGGUUAGCUGUUUCUCUUAAAUAUUACUACUCUAAACUUUUAUCAGCUGCUGAUUUCCAGACAAAUUUCUAAUUUAUAACUUUAUCUUUCAGUUGUCACUCAGCCCAGUCCAUCAGUUUCUCAGCCCAGUUCUUCUCAAAGUGAAGAAAAAGCUCCUGAGUUGCCCAAACCAAAGAAGAACAGAUGUUUUAUGUGUAGAAAGAAAGUUGGCCUUACAGGUAUUAACACAAUUCAUAUCUUAAAAGAGUCACUACAAAAGGAACUAUUUGGCUUUAC
rnacentral:lncRNA from 1 species